rnacentral:lncRNA from 1 species
GAUGGUGGUUGGCAAGAAUAAGUGCUUUACAAAAAGCAGCAAAAAGGAAGCCAAGAAGGAAGUGGUUGAUAACAUUUUCUAAGAAGACUGGUACAAUGUGAAAGUACCAGCUAUGUUCAAUGUAAGAAAUAUUGGUAGAACACUAGUCCCAGGGAUACAAGGAACAAAAACUGCAUCUGUUGGCCUCAAGGGUUGUGAUAUUGAGGUAAGCCUUGCUGAGCUGGAGAAUGAUGAAGCUGCAUUUAGAAAAUUCAAACUAAUUACUGAGAAUGUUCAGGACAAAAACCACCUGCCCAGCUUUCAUGGCAUGAAUCUUAUCCAUGACAAAAUGUGUUCCAUGGUAGUUCAUGACUGAAGCUCAUGUUGAUGUUCAGGCUACCUGUGGUUAUUUGCUUCAUUUGUUUUGUGUUCAGCCAGCAAUCGGUUUGCAUUUUGCUUAUGCUCAGCACCAACAGGUCUGACAAAUCCGGAAGAAGAUGAUGGAAAUCAUGAUCCCAGAGGUGCAGACAGAUGUCUUAAAAGAGACAAUCAAUAAAUUGAUUUUAGACAGCACUAGAAAGACAUAGAAAGCCUUGCCAGUCUAGUUACCCUGUCCAUGAGGUCUUCAUUAGAAAAGUAAACAUGCUAAAAAAGCCCAAGUUUGAAUCGAGAAAACUCAGGGAGCUUCACGGUGAAGGGAGCAGUUCUGGAAAAGCUACUGGGGAUGAGACAGGUGGGAAGGUUGAACGAGCAGAUAGAUAUGAGCCACCAGUUCAAGAACCUGUUU